UGUCGCAGACACUAAAGCAGUCAGUCAUGUUUUUCUGUGUUCUGAUCAACGCUGAAUAAACUUGUAAAUAAUGCUCUCCUGACUGCAACUUUUGGCUGUGCAUUUAUCUGCUGAUAGAGCGUGCAUGAGCUCUAGAAUGUGGCAAGAUAUUUUCUAGAAACUCAUGUCGCUGCGUGCCUACGGGAGACUGAGAUGGAUCGUCCGGCAGACGGCUUGGGGGCCUUGAUGGACUUUAUCUCCUGGCAGUAUCCCAACAACAGGUUUCGGGCCCAGAUUCACAGCACUUACAGGAGAGUAAGACUGCGACAGACUGCUGAAAGGUAUGUGGAAGAAAAGCGAAAGUGAGGCUUUUCUGUUUGCCGAGGCAAGGGCCUUUGAACUCCGGCAGAUUAAUGGAUCUGGGAGCCGCGCCAAAGGCCUCAAGAUUAAUGGGCUGCCGAGAUAAGACGUCUCUGAAGUGAAUAAGAUUCACGGCUCAAGUAGAAACCUGGAAUGGAGUUUUUCCAGGCUUCUGAGGCUGCUGCGUGCCCAAAGUUAAAUCGGCACAAUUAUGGGACCUGGGCUGUGUGGUGUGAGAGCUUGCUGCGUCAGUUUGGAGUGUGGCAUACUGUGUGUGAGGCCCCUCCAGUUCCUCUGACAGAAAGAUGGGAGUCCGAAAAUUUGAGGGCGAUAGACGUAAUCGUCUUGUCCGUCUCUCUGGAGGAAAUAAAAACGCUAGCUGGCAAUCUGACUGCACGUAAUAUGUGGCAUGCUUUGAAGAUAGCCCAUUUGCCAGUCAUCCCAGCCCAGAGUUUGACUGCAUCGGAGGUCCUGGCUGUUUCCCAGAAUGCGAGUGAAUGCAGGGAUGCUGAGGGCACCGGUUGCAAGCUGCAGGGGAGCUGACUGUCACGUCAUCCCAGGCAGCAUUCCAGCCUCCAGGGGAGCCAAGGAGUCGGCAGCUGAGAGCUCUGUUUCUCGUGGGAGCCAAGGUCAUCGCCUUUGCAGAGGCCGGAAGGGCAAAGGUAAACAGAGGCAGACGCCUGCAGAUGGCCAGAAGCAGAGGGAGGGUGAAGAGCCCACGCCAGAGAAAAACAAAGCUUCACCAAAGGCUAAAGGCAAGUCUGAUGGCCAGGAGCAGGGGGGCAAGCUGCAAAAGCCCACGCCAGUGGAAAACAAGGUUUUGUUUGCUGGCACAGCCUCACCAAAGGCUAAAGGCAAGUCUGAUGGCCAGGAGCAGGGGGGCAAGCUGCAAAAGCCCACGCCGGUGGAAAACAAGGUUUUGCUUGCUGCAAAGACUGCUCCAAAAGCCAAGGCCAGGUUUGUUGUUGAUUCAGGCUGUACCCGCCAUAUCUCAAAGGACCGCCACCUAUUUAUCUCCUUCAAACCUCAAGAAGGUGAGAUCCACCUGGCUGAUGGAAAGACGUUGCGAAUUGCGGGAGAAGGGACUGUGAAACUGGCAAGUCUGCACACGACCAUCAAAGAUGUACUGUAUGUUCCAGGCGCUGCAGACAAUUUGCUCAGUGUCCCACAGCUGACUGGGCGUGGUUUUGAGAUUUCCUUCAAGAGGAGCGUCUGUGUCAUCAGAAAAGGCAAAGAGGACAUUUUGCAUGCAAAGUUUAUGGAUGGCUUGUUCUGUAUAACUUAUGAUGACAUUGGUGCUGUUGUGUCUAAUGCUGAUUCUUGUUGUGUUGCACAAACUAACAAAGUUCUUCAUGCAGGAUGCAUUCACGAUGCACAUCGAAGAUUUUGCCAUCUCUCUUGGAAGGCACUGGCCAAGAUGCCAGAGAUGGUUGAGGGUUUGAACAUCAAACCCUGUAAGUUUCACAUGAAAUGUGUAUCUUGUGCAGAGAACAAGGUGAAGGUUGCUCCAAAAGGCAAGGAGUCUAGCAGGCAGGCUUCCAAACCCUACCAGCUAGUGCACGCAGACCUGGUUGGUCCACUUGCGCCCUCUUUGGGUGGAGCAAGGUACUUCAUGGUUCUAAUUGAUUCUUUUUCCAGGUACAUUCAUGUGUUUAUGCUCGAGCAGAAAUCGCAAGCAUUUCCUAAGUUCAAGGCAUUCUGUGCUUGGUUGGACAAUGUUCAUGGUAAACGCAUUGGCUGUCUGUUUACUGAUCGAGGCGGGGAGUUCACUUCUCAGCAGUUUGAAGCUUUCCUGACUGAGAAGGGAAUCCAGCAUAGCCUCUCAAGUCCUGGAUCUCCAUGGGAGAUUUGUGAGCAAGCAAAGCAAACGUUGCUGCAAGGACUGAAAACAUUGUUGCAUGAUGCCAAUCUCCUGAGAAGUUUUGGGGGGAGUCUUUGAACUCGUUUGUUUACACUUUUAAUCGCAGGUUGUCAUCACCUAUUGGUUGUACCCCCUAUGAGAAGAUGUUUGGUAAGAAACCCAACAUCAAGCACAUGAGAAUCUUUGGUUCUGACAUGUGGGUACACACCCCACAGAGCAACAAGCUUGGGAAGCGUGGGGCACAUGGUUUGUUCAUGGGGUACGAAAAGGUGCAUACAGGGUAUGGAUGACCAACUCUAAGUCCAUUAAGUUCACAAAGAGUGUUGAGUACAAUCCUAAGUGGGGGGAAAAUGUGGGAAUUUUCCAGAGUUACCCAGAGGAGGAUGAAGGUGAUGUCAAAGAAGCAGCUAAAGCUGAGGAAGCUGCUGAGGAUGAUGAUGACGAUGAUGAUCAGAGUUCGGAUUCCAGUUCAGUGGGCGGCGCUGCUGCUGGUGUCAGUGACAGUGAUGACACAGCAGACUACAAGAGCGCAAAGGCCUCAGUCAGACCAUCUGAUGCGUCUGACAAUGAACUGGAAGAACCACUGUUCACCAUUGGUCACUUUUCUCCUAAGAAGGAGGAGAUGAGUCCAGAAGACUUGCGUCUAGUACGCAGAUCUGAGAGAGCCACGAAGGGCAGACCUCCAAAGAGAUUUGCUGAUGAGUUUGCUAAGACAGCAACUGCUGUUCUUAGUAGCUCAGAGAAGGUGUGGGAACCUUCAAGCUUCAAAGAGGUUCAGGAGUUAACCUCUAAAGAUGCUGAGCCUUGGCUUAAUGCCAUGAAGGCUGAAGUUGAUUCCUUGAAUAGGAACCAAACUUGGGAACUGGUACCGGUAGUCCCAGGAAUGAGACUGGUUGGCAGCAAAUGGGUCUUCAAGGCCAAGACAGACCAGAAUGGCAAGGUUGUCAGACACAAAGCCAGAUUGGUUGCCAGAGGUUUUUCACAGGUACCAGGACAGGAUUACCACGAGACCUACUCACCCACCGUCAAAUAUGAGAGCAUUCGGCUGAUGCUCAAGAUAGCUGCAGAGGAGAAACUGCAUGUUUCCCAUCAUGACAUUAAUACAGCUUUUUGUACGGGGUUCUGGGGGAGGAGCUGUUUAUGCUUCCACCUGACGGGAUGCAGAUACAGAAGGGAAUGGUCUGUAAACUGCGGAAAUCCUUAUAUGGUCUCAAGCAGAGUGCCAGGUGUUGGAACACGAAACUCACUGAGACGUUGCUUUCUCUAGGUUUUCACCAGGGCAAAGCUGAUCCAUGUGUGUUUGUCAAGGAGGAGGGGCAAAACAAACUGUAUUGUUUAUGUUUUGUUGAUGAUCUUCUGAUGUUUUGGAAGAAUCAGGCUUUGUACCAAAGCACCCUAGCUCAGCUGAAGGAGCACUUUGACAUGAAGGAUCUUGGUGAGGUAUCCAACUAUCUUUCUCUGCAGGUGGAGAGGGACCAAGCAGGUAAUUUUCUGGUACACCAAACACAGAAAAUUGCUGAUGUAUUAACCAGGUUGAAUUUGGUUGAUGCAAACCCAGCAGACACACCGAUGGUGACAGGUUACCAGGUAGACAGUACUGCUGAAGCGUUUUCUGACACAACGCUGUACAGAUGCAUUCUAGGCAAGUUGAAUUUCAUUGCUAGAUGCUCAAGACCUGACAUAGCUGUAAGCUGUAACCUGCUUAGCAGACAUGCCAACAAUCCUACUGUUCAGGAUUGGAAAGCUCUGAAGCGCAUAGCCCGCUAUUUGAAAGGGACUUUGCACUACAGGCUGAGGUUCACCAGUCAGAAGACUGGAGGUCUUGAAAUCUUUGCAGAUGCAAGUUUUGGAAGUGACACCACGGAUGGUACAAGCACUUCUGGAGUAUGCUACAUGUACAACCACUGUCUGUUUGACUGGCUGUGCAAGAAGCAGACGACAGUGAGCCUAAGUUCCUGUGAAGCAGAACUCAAUGCUCUGUCAUUUUCACUCAUGGAUUGUGAAUGGUUGAUGCAACUGUUUAAGGACAUCAGAGUUUCUGUGAAAUGUCCUGUACAAGUGUAUCAAGACAAUAGAUCCUGUUUGGCUUUGCUGAACUCGGAGAGUUGCAAGCAAAGGACCAAGUACUUGCAGAUUAAGCUACAUCGUGCAAGGGAGUGUAUUCAGAAAGGACUCAUUCAGGUGUCCUACAUGCCAGGAAAUGAAAUUCCUGCUGAUCUGUUGUCUAAGGUUGUUAACAGAGAACAACUUAAGGUUUAUGUACAAAGGUUGCAAUUGGGUUGAACCACAGGUACUACAGGUUACACGGAAAGGGGAGGAUGUUAGGAUAUUUCCGUUCCACCUUAAAAGGAGGCAGGCUUUGUGAGUCAGAGUCUGCGUAUUUCCUGUUCACAGGAUGUUUAUGUUUUCUGUUGCUUUCGUUUUCUCUCUGGUGUCGCAGACACUAAAGCAGUCAGUCAUGUUUUUCUGUGUUCUGAUCAACGCUGAAUAAACUUGUAAAUAAUGCUCUCCUGACUGCAACUUUUGGCUGUGCAUUUAUCUGCUGAUAGAGCGUGCAUGAGCUCUAGAAUGUGGCAAGAUAUUUUCUAGAAACUCAUGUCGCUGCGUGCCUACGGGAGACUGAGAUGGAUCGUCCGGCAGACGGCUUGGGGGCCUUGAUGGACUUUAUCUCCCUGGCAGUAUCCCAACAG
rnacentral:lncRNA from 1 species